rnacentral:misc_RNA from 1 species
GAUGAAGAACGUAGCGAAAUGCGAUAAGUAAUGUGAAUUGCAGAAUUCAGUGAAUCAUCGAGUCUUUGAACGCACAUUGCGCCCCCUGGUAUUCCGGGGGGCAUGCCUGUCCGAGCGUCAUUGCUGCCCUCAAGCACGGCUUGUGUGUUGGGCCCCCGUCCCCGGUUUCCCCCGGGGACGGGCCCGAAAGGCAGCGGCGGCACCGCGUCCGGUCCUCGAGCGUAUGGGGCUUUGUCACCCGCUCUGUAGGCCCGGUCGGCGCCAGCCGACACCCAACUUUAUUUCUAAGGUUGACCUCGGAUCAGGUAGGGAUACCCGCUGAACUUAAGCAUAUCAAUAAGCGGAGGA